rnacentral:rRNA from 1 species
GACGAACGCUGGCGGCGUGCCUAAUACAUGCAAGUAGAACGCUGAAGGAGGAGCUUGCUUCUCUGGAUGAGUUGCGAACGGGUGAGUAACGCGUAGGUAACCUGCCUGGUAGCGGGGGAUAACUAUUGGAAACGAUAGCUAAUACCGCAUAAUAUUGACUAUUGCAUGAUAGUCAGUUGAAAGGUGCAACUGCACCACUACCAGAUGGACCUGCGUUGUAUUAGCUAGUUGGUGGGGUAACGGCUCACCAAGGCGACGAUACAUAGCCGACCUGAGAGGGGGAUCGGCCACACUGGGACUGAGACACGGCCCAGACUCCUACGGGAGGCAGCAGUAGGGAAUCUUCGGCAAUGGACGGAAGUCUGACCGAGCAACGCCGCGUGAGUGAAGAAGGUUUUCGGAUCGUAAAGCUCUGUUGUAAGAGAAGAACGAGUGUGAGAGUGGAAAGCUCACACUGUGACGGUAUCUCACCAGAAAGGGACGGCUAACUACGUG